GCCGUUGCAUGUAAAAACAGAAAACAUGAAUUACACACAUUGACAUGACACAUUGAAACACAACAUAUUUACAUAUUCGAGAGCACAUUGUCCACCACUUCGCCUAUCUCCGGUUUAGCAUCAAAGUCGAUUGAUGGACAAAAUACUUUUUUAGUCUAACCUUCUUGAAAGGUGGUACCUCGUAUCUCCUUCCUGAGGACAAUAACCUGUAUUCACUAUACAAAACAUGACUAGUGUUUGAGGUGAUGUUUUUUGCCAACCUGAGCAUGCUGUUGUCAUACGUGGAAGUAUACAGCUCCUGAAGUGGUUGUCCAACAAUCUUUGAACAAAUGUUUAGUUGUUGUAACAUUUGUGACUUUAGGGCUACAGACAGACAUCCAUACCAGGUGGUACUGCAGUACUGAAGAACACUCAUAAUAACAGAAGUGAAAAACAAAAGAGGAAUCCUUCUA